rnacentral:lncRNA from 1 species
AUAUUUUAACAUUAAACUUAUGUGUUUAGAGUACAGAAGUAACCUGAUAAAAAUUAUGAUAGUGACUCACAAGAUUUUAAAGAACAUCAAAAAUGAAAAAAGUUUUGUCUGCAGACACCUGUCUCUGUAUUAAACAAAAGUAAAGCAAGAUUGGAAAAAGUGAUCAUAAUUACCUCUGUGAUUAAGGUGAAGGGAGUAGCAGCAAAAAGAGAAGUAGCAAAAAAUUGAAUUGGACAGGGCAAGGUGAUCUUCAAAAAAAGUCUUUCCGAAUUCUUAAAUUUCGUUAAGUUAUUGAAAAAGCAAUACAAAGAAAUUUGCUGACAAAAGAUACCACAUACAGCGAAAUUUAAAAGGCAGUUGUGGCUUUUUUUUCUGGAGCUCCAGACAGAAAUAGAGGCAGAAAAAAAGGAGCAGGAAAAAAGUCCAUCAAAAAAACCAGUUCAACAAAAAAUCGUGGCUAUACUGCCCAAUCAUUAACAUUAAAACCUUUAUCUGGAUUGUCAUUACCACGAUUUGAACACUUUAUUUUUGAUGAAUCUGAUAAAAUAUGUUCUCAAAGUCUUGCAUGAUCUGUUUUAUAUGUUAUGUUUUAUAU